rnacentral:lncRNA from 1 species
UGGCGGCGACCAACUCGUGGACCUGACGCAGCCAGAGAGCUGUCAUUUCAGCACUGGGAUUCAGAAUUGAUCCAAUUCGCAACGGAGGGGGCACAUCCCAGCUCCCGAACUGCUGCAUGUCUCUGGCUGGAACAAUAGUAGUUUUUCUCUGGAAGGCUGCAAUUAACAUCUUAUUUGUUCUGGCUCCAUACAGGCUUUGUCAGGACCGCGGUGCGGCGACCGAGGCUACUGAGCUGGUCUGAUGAUGAUCCUGCUGAGAUGUAUUUAUAGCAGAUGAUUUGUGGAUGAUAAAUAUGCCAAGUAAGACACAGUCUCCAGUAACCCCAGGCUCAUCUGACUUCCUCAGGGGACUAUAAUCAAGAAUCACAAAAAGAACCCUCUAUGGACAGUCUGGUCUCUGGACACUAACAACAGCACAAUCCAAAGGCAAAUCAAGGGGGAACCACUUUGUUUCAUGUCUGCAAGAUGCUCCAUGUGAAAGCAUUGCUGACAAUGUUGACCCAACAGCAAA